CAUCAGCGGUCAUGGAGAGUCUCCAUCCAGCUGGAUCACUGUCACAGGUGACACACUCACCUGUCUGUGUUUCUGCAGCUUUCAACAUUCACAAUGUGACGACAACUUAAUGACUGUUUGCGCUUUAUUUUAGGGGAAGACACCACCACACCUCCACCUACAUCCACACCUCCUCCUGGUUGCACCUCUUGUCAUCCAUCACCCUCCCCUCCUGUUGUCACUGUGUUGUCAUUCAUUUUAACAGUCUGUGUUGCAGCUCUACUUACUUUAAUAGUUCUGUUGAUUAAACUUUGUGUUGUUAGAAAACCUGAAGGUGACACUUGGACCUCUGGAUUUGACCCAGCCAAUCGACAGGAAGCUAAAGAAGAUAACCCAAUCAGUAACGUCUUAUAUGACAUCGGACAGAGCAGAGGGAUAAAUCGGGCUGCACUCUACUCAACAGUGAGGAAAAAAAC